rnacentral:lncRNA from 1 species
GAAAGACAUCUAAAAACUCUCUGACCACGGGCACUGAGGCGGGCUCUCUAACAUGACUAUCCAGCUCUCUCACAUGAGCUAGAAAACCCUGACAACCCCUCCUGAGCAACCUACGAGCCUGUAGGGCUGAUAUCAAACCUCUAGGUGUACCCCUCCUGUUUCCCCUGAAGACAACCUCUGACCCAUCCUGACCUCUGAACUUGACUACCUUGUCUCUGCAGUCCAAGGUAGCACCAUGGGUAGAUAGCCAAUCCAUCCCUAGAAUGACAUCAAAAUCCGUCAAAUCUAGAACCAUAAGGUCGGCUGGAAGGCAUCUACUCUCCACAAACACU